UGCUUGUGUUGGUCUGAGCUGCACUCAAAACGUUGUGAGACCGAUGGCGGAUCUGGCCAGAGGCAGGUUCCUUGCUGAAGUGUCUUUGCCGAUCGCCCUCCUUGUGAUGGUUUACACAAUGGGAAUUGAAAAUGUGGAGGCACAAGAACGACUGCCAAAGCCGACCCUGACCGUGGAUCCCCCGUCAG